rnacentral:rRNA from 1 species
AGAGUUUGAUCCUGGCUCAGAUUGAACGCUGGCGGAAUGCUUUACACAUGCAAGUCGAGCGGCAGCGCGGGGCAACCUGGCGGCGAGCGGCGAACGGGUGAGUAAUGCAUCGGAACAUGUCCAUGUCGUGGGGGAUAGCCCGGCGAAAGCCGGAUUAAUACCGCAUAAGCCCGGGAGGGGAAAGCGGGGGACCGAAAGGCCUCGCGCGAUUGGGUUGGCCGAUGUCCGAUUAGCUAGUUGGUGAGGUAAAGGCUUACCAAGGCGAUGAUCGGUAGCUGGUCUGAGAGGAUGAUCAGCCACACUGGGACUGAGACACGGCCCAGACUCCUACGGGAGGCAGCAGUGGGGAAUUUUGGACAAUGGGGGCAACCCUGAUCCAGCCAUUCCGCGUGAGUGAAGAAGGCCUUCGGGUUGUAAAGCUCUUUUGUCCGGAGCGAAACGGGCGCGGUGAAUAGCCGUGUCUACUGACGGUACCGGAAGAAUAAGCACCGGCUAACUACGUGCCAGCAGCCGCGGUAAUUC